UGGAAAGAGUUAUUACGAUG
rnacentral:snRNA from 1 species